UUGGCCAACCAGCUUCUGCGUGGAAAUAUGCAGUGGAUUGGCCGCCAUUGUCAGACCUCCUUUCCCUUCCGCGCCACCGCCAAUUGCCCUAACAUUGUAAGCCUCCGUCUUUGCAAUUCCAAAUUACUCUUCGAUUUCCGCUGCGGAGGUUUGAUUUCGUUUUCAGUUGUGUUUGGAUCGUCGUAAUCUGCGCUCUUCGGCGAUUCGUCUCCCAACUUUACGAAAUCAGCAGUGCCACUGUUUUCAGAUCAGAGCGGGCAUGGUUUUGCCGGUGGUUUCGAUUCCGCAUACGCCUCUCGGUAUAUACAACGGGAACGGUAGUAGCUGGAGCGCCGGCGGUGGCGAUGGCGGUGGCGGCUAUAGUUCCGUGCAAUCGUUGCCAGUUUUUGCAGUCUCUUCUGUUGGUGGAGAAAAUGUGGCAAGGAAUAGAAGGAUUGCUUGUGCUUGUGUCACGCCGUCUCAGGAUUUUACGCCGGUAAAUUUUGCGGGUGGUGGUAAUCAGAUGGAAAACUUAAGCGUUGAGAAUAAACAUGACAAUGAUUCUGAUGUGCUGAUUGAAUGCAGAGAUGUGUUCAAAUCCUUUGGGGAAAAACAUAUCUUAAGAGGUGUGAGCUUCAAGAUUAGGGAUGGAGAGGCUGUUGGAAUUAUUGGACCAUCUGGAACAGGCAAGUCAACCAUCUUGAAGAUUAUAGCAGGACUGCUAGCUCCCGAUAAGGGUGAGGUUUUUAUUCGAGGUAGAAGGCGGGAUGGUUUGAUCAGCGACGAGGAAAUAUCCGGUCUUAGAAUUGGCUUGGUGUUCCAGAGUGCUGCCCUUUUUGAUUCUUUGACUGUUCGAGAAAAUGUUGGUUUUUUGUUAUAUGAGAAUUCAACUAUGUCUGAAGAUCAAAUUGCUAAGAUGGUGACAGAGACUCUAGCUGCAGUUGGAUUGAAGGGAGUUGAGGACAGGUUACCUUCUGAAUUGUCUGGAGGGAUGAAAAAGAGAGUAGCUCUUGCUCGUUCCAUAAUAUUUGAUACAACAAGCGAUGCUGUGGAACCCGAGGUGCUCCUGUAUGACGAGCCGACUGCUGGUCUAGAUCCAAUUGCAUCGACUGUUGUGGAAGAUCUCAUUCGCUCUGUGCAUACAAAAGGCACCGAUGCCCUUGGGAAGCCCGGGAAUAUUGCAUCCUACGUUGUUGUUACUCAUCAACACAGCACAAUCAGAAGAGCUGUUGAUAGGCUAUUAUUUUUGCACGAAGGAAAAGUUGUUUGGCAGGGAAUGACUCAUGAAUUCUCCUCCUCAUCAAAUCCGAUUGUUCGGCAGUUUGCAUCGGGGAGCUUGGAUGGCCCAAUUAGGUAUUAAUUAGUGUCAACAAGAAGACAUACAUGAAGAAGAUGUAAAUGAAGAUGAAGAAAGAGAUCUUAAUAAAUGAGUCCCCAAAUGUUGAAUUGAUCUAGUCUCGAGCAGCGCCGCGCCACCGGAGAUCAGAAACACUUGGUGGUGCACGGUUGCUUGGAAUAUCUGGACUGAUGACCAGGCCUUGUGAUCCUUAAGCAAUUGCAUACAAAUUUGUCAGAUGAAGGUGAGAAUAUGCAAAUUUCAUGAGAUGGAAAGGCAAUGGCACUCAAAACUUUAAAAAAAAGUUACCCAUGGUAGUCUCUGACUUUAUUUGUGAAUUUUCAAUUCAAAAUUUUACUAUUUACUAAUUUUUUCCUUAUAAAAAAUAUUGAGUCAACACCUAUUUUGUAUUGAUUAAUUUUACAUUCGAGUCAUCAC